UACGGGGGGGGCAAGCGUUGUUCGGAAUUACUGGGCGUAAAGGGCUCGUAGGCGGCCAACUAAGUCGGACGUGAAAUCCCUCGGCUUAACCGGGGAACUGCAUCCGAUACUGGAAGGCUCGAGUUUGGGAGAGGGAUGCGGAGUUCCAGGUGUAGCGGUGAAAUGCGUAGAUAUCUGGAGGAACACCGGUGGCGAAGGCGGUGGUCUGGGCCUGAACUGACGCUGAGGAGCGAAAGCCAGGGGAGGCAAACGGG
rnacentral:rRNA from 1 species